UCUUCUGAAGACCCCAGAGAGACUAUCUGGUUGAUAGGAUGCAGGUGUAAGCGUCGUGAGGCGUUCAGCCGAGCAUUACUAAUAGGUCGUGAGGCUUGACCAU
rnacentral:rRNA from 1 species